UACGAAGGGGGCUAGCGUUGCUCGGAAUUACUGGGCGUAAAGCGCGUGCAGGCGGCCUUGCAAGUCGGACGUGAAAUCCCACGGCUCAACCGUGGAAGUGCAUUCGAAACUGCGAGGCUGGAGUCCUGGAGAGGAAAGUGGAAUACUCGGUGUAGAGGUGAAAUUCGUAGAUAUCGAGUGGAACACCGGUGGCGAAGGCGGCUUUCUGGACAGGUACUGACGCUGAGACGCGAAAGCGUGGGGAGCAAACAGG
rnacentral:rRNA from 1 species